UACGGAGGGUGCAAGCGUUGUUCGGAUUUAUUGGGCGUAAAGCGCGUGUAGGCGGUUUCUUAAGUCUGAUGUGAAAGCCCUGGGCUCAACCCAGGAAGUGCAUUGGAUACUGGGAGACUUGAAUACGGGAGCGGGUAGUGGAAUUCCUAGUGUAGGAGUGAAAUCCGUAGAUAUUAGGAGGAACACCGGUGGCGAAGGCGGCUACCUGGACCGAUAUUGACGCUGAGACGCGAAAGCGUGGGGAGCAAACAGG
rnacentral:rRNA from 1 species